UCUAAGUACAAACUAAAUGAUGGUGAAACUGCAAAUGGCUCAUUACAACGGUUAUGAUGUACCCGGGAGUUCCGAUGGAUAUUUCCAGUAACACUAGAACUAAUACAUGUCCCUGCGUUUAUUAGUUUCGCACAGUCCGUCGCUGAGUCAUGGUAAACAGUUGAUCGACUCGACGUCCCGGAACAGUUUCCGCCCCAUCAGCUUCGAUGGUUGGGCAUUGGCCUACCAUUGCAACAACGGGUAACGAGGAAUUAGGGUUUGAUUUCGGAGAGGGAGCCUGAGAAACGGCUACCACAUCUACGGAUGGCAGCAGGCGCGCAAAUUACCCAAUGCAGACACUGUGAGGUAGUGACGAGAAAUAAUAAAGCGGGACUUCCGUUUCGCUAUUAUAAUGAGGAAUAACCAAAGGUCAUUCCGAUUAGCAACUGAUGGGGAAGUCUGGUGCCAGCAGCCGCGGUAAUACCAGCGUCAGUAGCAUAUAUUAAAAUUGUUGCAGUUAAAACGUCCGUAGUCUGUACGUCGUCCCAAACUCACUGCAGUCUUCCGUUUUCUUCAUUGAAUGCGGUAGUUUCUGCAGUCACUCCCUUGAUCAAAUUAGGUUGUUCAAGGUAGACCAAGUCUUCAUAUUUUCACAUGGAAUUGGGUGAGGGAACUUAAGAGUUUAAGUUUCUCGUCUUAGGAUCAUCCGGGGUCAUUCGUACUCGUCCGCGAGAGGUGAAAUUCUUGGACCGGACGAAGACGACCAGCAGCGAAAGCAUCUGUCAGGGAUGUUUUCUGCGACAAAGGACGAAGGUCAGGGUAUC
rnacentral:rRNA from 1 species